GACGAACGCUGGCGGCGUGCUUAACACAUGCAAGUCGAACGGAAAGGCCCUGCUUUUGUGGGGUGCUCGAGUGGCGAACGGGUGAGUAACACGUGAGUAACCUGCCCUUGACUUUGGGAUAACUUCAGGAAACUGGGGCUAAUACCGGAUAGGAGCUCCUGCUGCAUGGGGGGGGUUGGAAAGUUUCGGCGGUUGGGGAUGGACUCGCGGCUUAUCAGCUUGUUGGUGGGGUAGUGGCUUACCAAGGCUUUGACGGGUAGCCGGCCUGAGAGGGUGACCGGCCACGUUGGGACUGAGCUACGGCCCAGACUCCUACGGGAGGCAGCAGUGGGGAAUAUUGCACUAUGGGCGGAAGCCUGAUGCAGCAACGCCGCGUGCGGGAUGACGGCCUUCGGGUUGUAAACCGCUUUCGCCUGUGACGAAGCGUGAGUGACGGUAAUGGGUAAAGAAGCACCGGCUAACUACGUG
rnacentral:rRNA from 1 species